AAAAUGGAACUUAUAUACUUUUCCAUCACUGAUUUACACGGAAAAAAUAUGUAGAAGUGUGCCAACUGAAAACAUUUUGUAUACGCCGUUGCCAUUACUAUUGCUAUUUCUGUUAUUAUUGCUGUUAUUGCGGCUGCCUGACAGUAAUGAUUUUGUUUUUAUUAUCGUUGAUUUCUUGUAUUGAGUGUAUGGUUCAAGUGCACAACAACUGUUGUGGAUGUAGCCGCAGAUACGCCUGGUUCUCUCAGAUUAGGGGUUACGUAUACGUAAUAUUGGUUGCACUCACUAUUACCGUAUACUGUCCCAGUACCAUCGCCGCUGCCGCUGCCAGCAAUAUUUUGUUCUGUUGUGUUGCUAACUUGUUUAGUAAAUGGUUGAUCGUUUCAUUGUCAACAACAACGUUUCCCAGUAGAAAUCCAAGAAUGUAGGGAGGAAGCCAUAUUUUAGCUUUGUUCAAGGGCCUUAUGAACCCAGUGCUGUUAGUUUACUGAGUUAAAUAUUUUAAAUAAAUAAAAGAUCUUUGUUUGCAAUUUCAAUUUUUCAAUUGUGCAUUUGAUUGUAGCCAAAUUUUGAUAAGUGCAGUGAGUAAUACGGACUACGUACUGAAGAUAUUUUUAAUCAUUUUACUCGCAUGAAUGCGGACAUUCAAAUGUAAAUAUAACAAGUGAGCUUGUAGGUUUAUUCGUUUACGAUUAUCAAAUACCUAAGAUGUAAUAGCCGCAAUUUUGUACAAGGGAUGCAAUGACAUUUUUUUUCAUACAUAUGUACUAGGUAUGUUACUUUGUUCGCUUUUUACGAUCCCGGGAUUUUCGGGAUAUCGUUAUCUCAAUCCUGGGAUCCCGAGAUUUAGAUAUUCAACAACUUAAAUGGAAAAAAUUGCUUUAAUAUUAUUUGAGAAGCACUCCUACCAUAAAAUAAAUAAUAAAUAAAUGGAUUUGAAACCUGCUUUUUUAUUUAAAGUGAAAAUUAUUUCAUAAGUAACUAAGAAAAAGACAUUAAUUAAAUGUAUAAGCAAUUAAUAAUACUUAGCGUGUAAAAGUAUCUUAAGGUAUGUCGAAAAAAGCUCGAUGCAAAACAUUUUAAGUCAACAAAUCUGUGGAGUUUUGAUGAA